AACGAACGCUGGCGGCAUGCCUAACACAUGCAAGUCGAACGAGACCUUCGGGUCUAGUGGCGCACGGGUGCGUAACGCGUGGGAACCUGCCCUUAGGUUCGGAAUAACUCCCCGAAAGGGGUGCUAAUACCGGAUAAUGUCUUCGGACCAAAGAUUUAUCGCCUUUGGAUGGGCCCGCGUUGGAUUAUCUAGUUGGUAUGGUAAAAGCCUACCAAGGCGACGAUCCAUAGCUGGUCUGAGAGGAUGAUCAGCCACACUGGGACUGAGACACGGACCAGACUCCUACGGGAGGCAGCAGGGGGGAAUAUUGGACAAUGGGCGAAAGCCUGAUCCCGCAAUGCCGCGUGAGGGAAUAAGGCCUUAGGGUUGUAAAACUCUUUUAACCGGGAUGAUAAUGACAGUACCGGGAGAAUAAGCUCCGGCUAACUCCGUG
rnacentral:rRNA from 1 species